rnacentral:rRNA from 1 species
CCCGACUUGCUAGCCCUUGCGCGAACGGGUGAGUAAUGCGUCGGAACGCACCGAGUAGUGGGGGAUAACGCAGCGAAAGCUGUGCUAAUACCGCAUACGCUCUGAGGAGGAAAGCGGGGGAUCGAAAGACCUCGCGUUAUUCGAGCGGCCGACGUCUGAUUAGCUAGUUGGUGAGGUAAGAGCUCACCAAGGCGACGAUCAGUAGCGGGUCUGAGAGGAUGAUCCGCCACACUGGGACUGAGACACGGCCCAGACUCCUACGGGAGGCAGCAGUGGGGAAUUUUGGACAAUGGGCGCAAGCCUGAUCCAGCCAUGCCGCGUGUCUGAAGAAGGCCUUCGGGUUGUAAAGGACUUUUGUCAGGGAGCAAAUGCCGGUGGCUAAUAUCCACUGGAGCUGAGAGUACCUGAAGAAUAAGCACCGGCUAACUACGUGCCAGCAGCCGCGGUAAUACGUAGGGUGCAAGCGUUAAUCGGAAUUACUGGGCGUAAAGCGUGCGCAGGCGGUUGUGCAAGUCUGAUGUGAAAGCCCCGGGCUUAACCUGGGAACGGCAUUGGAGACUGCACGGCUAGAGUACGUCAGAGGGGGGUAGAAUUCCACGUGUAGCAGUGAAAUGCGUAGAGAUGUGGAGGAAUACCGAUGGCGAAGGCAGCCCCCUGGGAUGAUACUGACGCUCAUGCACGAAGCGUGGGGAGCAAACAGGAUUAGAUACCCUGUAGUCCACGCCCUAAACGAUGUCAAUUAGCUGUUGGGGGUUUGAAUCCUUGGUAGCGUAGCUAACGCGUGAAAUUGACCGCGCAAGGUUAAACUCAAGGAAUUGACGGGGACCCGCACAAGCGGUGGAUGAUGUGAUUAAUUCGAUGCAACGCGAAAACCUUACCUACCCUUGACAUGUCGGACUCGAUGAAGUGAGGUGCCCGAAGGAGCCGACACAGUGCUGCAUGCUGUCGUCAGCUCGUGUCGUGAGAAUGUUGGGGUAAGUCCCGCAC